AUUCGCCACUGGGUUGCGCGUUGCUUGCAGAGAAACCGGUGCGGGGUCCGCGAUCUGUGUUCUUGGGGGGCUCCCGGAGGUCCUAAGGACAGUAAGUAUUUGCAGAUUGAGCCCCUGGCUGCGGCUGAAGAGCGUGUCGAUCGGGCCAGAGGUGGUGCCCGAGGUGGGCAGGAGCGAGGUCAGCAGGCUCGGGACGGCCCGAGGGUGGCGUGCCGACGGCCACCCGCGCCUCCUGUGCCGAGGGGGGCCCGCUGGUGUCCGGGACAGCUACUGUCUGGGCUUACGGGGGGGAGGUGGCAAAGUGGGCAAAACUGGCCACAAGGAAGUUUCUAGGGGUGGUAUUUCUGGCCUUCCAGAAAGUGAGAUGAGUAGAGAGAGAAGGAGCAAGCCGGACUGCAACCCCGGUGCAGGCUGUUCCGCCGAUCAGCUGCGUGACAUUAACACAGUCCCCCGUUGGGGGUGCCCGGCCGGCUCAGUUGGGGGAGUGUGCGACUGCUGAUAUCGGGGUGGUGAGUUUGAGCCCUAUGUGGGGUGUAGAGACGACUUGAAAGAAAUCUCAAAAACAAAAGUCCUCCUGUGUUUUGCACUUUCCUCUCCUGAGAAUAGAGCUUUGAUUUGUAAGACCUUUUUCUACUCCAGAAAGUUGUGUCCUUGAGACAUAUGGCAUUUAAAAGGGGCCACCUGAGUGGCGCCUGGGGGGCUCAGUUGGUUAAGCGACCGACUUCGGCUCAGGUCACGAUCUUGCAGUUUGUGAGUUGGAGCCCCGCGUCGGGCUCUGUGCUGACAGCUCAAGGCCUGGAGCUGCUUCGGAUUCUGUGUCUCCCCCUCUCUCUACCCCUCACCUGCUCACGCUCUGUGUCUGUCUCUCAGUAAUAAAUAAACAUUAAAAAAAAAUUUUUUUUUAAUAAAAUAAAAGGGUCCACCUGAUGAGUAAAAUGUGAAUUUUUAAUCAGAUGUUGGGGGCGCCUGGGUGGCUCAGUCGGUCAAGCAUUUGACUUGGGCUCAGGUCAUGAUCUCACCGUUUGUGGGUUCAAGCCCUGCUUUGAGUGAGCCCAACUUCUCUCUCCCUCUCUCUGCCCCUCACUCACUUGCACCUUCUCUGUCUCAAAAAAAGCCAUAUAUAUAUAUAUAUAUAUAUAUGUGUGUGUAUGUAUAAAACGUUGGUUGUAGAAUAGUUAAGCAAAACAAAGAGUCAAGUCCUACGUAGUCCUACCACUCAGCCAUAACCCUGGCUGUCAUGGUUGACGUUGUGAUACAUAUUCGUCAGUCUUUAACUGUCUGCACUUUUUAAAAAUGCCGUUUCGUAACCUUCUCAGUGUAAUAAGUCGUCCUCAUUUUCCCAUCACGAACGUCCUACAGAACUAACAACCGCAUGACAGCGUGUGGUCCACGGGCAGCAUGGUUUCCUUUGCAUCCCUGUGGAUAGACGGCGACAUUAGUGGUUGCUUUUCCCUCCCGCGCUUGGCGUGGCUCACAUCCGCGGUCGUUUUCCAAGGAUGCGUUCCCAUUUGUUUGGUGUUGAGUCGCCAUCCAGAACGGAUGCAAGUCUCCGUGUCCGUCGGCAGGGCAAAGCUUCCGUUUCCCCACAGCCGUGUCGAACGUGGGAGUAUCGGGCUUGCCUUUUCUUAGGUGGACAGCUGUAAGGUGGCCGUGUUUUUAUGAUGUUCUUAAACGUUUACUUAUUAGAGAGAGAGCACGUGUGCAUGUGAGCGGGGACGGGGCACAGGGGUCAGCUCCGCGCCCCGCGGCUUCAGGAGUGGUGUCAGCACGGUGUGUGUGCACUUACCCCUUUGUGUGAGGCCGCUUUCACUCACUCGAACGUGUUUGACAUUGAUCUCCAUCGUUGCACGUAUUGGGAGUCAGUUCCUUCUUCUGCCGCGUGGUGUUCUGCCCUGUGAACUUACCGGUCUUUUCCGUGGUUCCCUAUUCACAUGGAUGGUGAGGAGCUGUCCUUUUUUUUUUUUUUUUUUUUCCCUUUUUAAGUGUAUUUUUGGGAGGGGGAGAGAGGGAGACAGAAGUUCCAAAGCGGGCUCUGCACUGACAGCACAGAGCCCGAUGCGGGGCUCAAACCCACGAAUCGUGAGAUCGUGACCUGAACCGAAGUCAGACGCCCAACCAACCGACUGAGCCACCCAGGCGCCCCGAACCCGACUCCUAUUAUCAUGAACGUAUUGACUAUUUAGUGAACCCCACACGUAACCAGUCGUGCAUCGCUGUGCCCCUCACCCCCCACGUGGACGCCUUGUUCGUCCUGCUCUGCCUCGGCCCCCCGUGGUGGCCUCUGUCUCACGGGGAACGUCCUCUUGACCCAACUCAGGCUUUGCCACCCUGUCCCGGCCCCUCCGUGCCUGCACGCCCCGGUUGGAAUUUCGACCCCCUGUGCCAGGAGGUUCCUGAAAUCCCCGUGUCGCCCUGGGCCACCAUGGUUCCUCUUCCUUGCGUGGACACCUACUCUGUCCUGUUAACGUUCGGAAAGUAAAAGUGUCUCGGCUUUUAACAUGCUUCCUUUUCAUCAGGAAAGCAAACCUUUUCAUGUUUAUUGGCCAUUUGGGUUUCUUGAAUGGCCUUUUUAGCCCUGUAUUUUUCUACUGCUGGGUGUUUGCUUUUAUUGUUAAUUUGUAAGAAUUAUUCUCUUCUUUUGUUAAUUUUUAAGAACUAAAGAAGCUCACAUUGAAAUAUAGAUGCUUUUUUCUGACCCCAAUGUAAAACAGAAGUUUCCAGAUACAUUUCUAAUUUUGUCAACUGUGGGGUAAGUGUAAUCAGAAAUAUGAAUGUAAAUAGUGGAUGCUGCUUUAAUGGUUAGUUCUUUUUUUUUUUUUAAUUUUUUUAAUGAAUAUUUAUUUUUGAGAGAGAGAAAGAGAGAUACAGAGCGUGAGCAAGGGAUGGGCGUAGAGAGAGACACAGAAUCCGAAGCAGGAUCCAGAUUCUGAGUUGUCGGCACAGAGCCCGACGCGGGGCUCGAACCCACAAACCUCGAGAUCAUGACCUGGGCCGCGGGUUCCUUGUACGCGUGGGUGCGUGCACCACUUGUCCCUUGUGACAGGCUUGUUUCACGGAACACCACAUCCUCCGGGUUCAUCCACAUCGUAGCAGGUGUCAGAAUUUCCUUUCUUUUUAAGGCUGAAUAACAUUCCUCUGUGAUUUUGUCUGUCUGUCUGUCCAUCACUGGAUACUGGGUGGUACCUUGGUGGUGGGGAGACAUUCAUAAUAAACUUAGUGAAAAUCAGGUUAC